UCUACUUAUCGAAUCUUAGUAUUAGUAAUAAAUGACAGAAAUGAAAUUUUAACCUCCCGUCCUUUGCAACAAA
rnacentral:tRNA from 1 species